AAGGGCUCUUAAAUUCAGCCAAGCAAGGGAAUUAAGACACAAAACAUGCCUAAAUUCUCCCAUGGAUGAAUUAGGACAUAAAUCAAAGCCAAAUCCACCCAAAGGCAAGCCUUGAGAAGCCUAUAAAUACAAGGUCCUCCCACAAGCAUAGAGGUCGAAAAUCUCUACACAGAAGAACCUUUGCCAAACCUUUGAAGACUAAUAUGCUGCCAAAGCUCUCUUCAAAGAACAUUCAACCAAAGCC
rnacentral:lncRNA from 1 species